rnacentral:lncRNA from 1 species
UCCAGAGUGUCAAGGGAAAGGUGGUUAUCGAUGCCUUUCGUCUAAUUAAUCCCCAGACAAUGAUGCUUGGUCAAGAACCACGUCAAACAACAUCAAACCUCGGCCAUCUUAAUAAGCCAUCUAUUCAAGUGAGUGUUGAACAAAUACUUUUAAAUAAUUCUUGCUUUCAUGCCACUGACUCAUACGAUUGAUUUCAGGCAUUAAUCCAUGGAUUGAAUCGCCAUUAUUACUCUAUUGCAAUUAACUAUAGGAAAAAUGAACUUGAGGAGAAGAUGUUGCUUAAUCUUCACAAGAAGAAAUGGACUGAUGGCCUAACACUUCAACGAUUUGAUACACACUCGAAAACUAAUGAGCAGACUGUCCAGGUAAGCAUGUCUUUUAUGUUUUAACCUUCUAGAGGUUGCAUCUCUUCUUGCAAUAUCGAAUAAAAUGAAUAAAAUGAGUUUCUUGCGUUGCCAAACAAUUCAAUUGCUCUCUAAUUGUACUUAUCUAAUAAAGAAAGUGCUGUGAUCAAUUAACUUGACGAUUCACUUUUCACAGCUAACCUCGAUAAAAUUGUAUUUCAUUGUGCAUAAUCUUUGUUGUGAUUAAGGAUUUGUUAUAUACCGUGCAGGAAAUGCUGAACUUGGCUAUCAAGUACAACAAGGCAGUACAAGAGGAAGAUGAGUUGCCACCAGAAAAACUUGCAAUUGCAAACGUGGGAAGGCAAGAUGCUAAGAAGCACCUGGAAGAACAUGUCUCCAAUUUGAUGUCAUCGAACAUCAUACAGACAUUAGGAACAAUGCUCGAUACAGUUGUGUUCUAAUCGAACUAUGGUCGUUAAAGAACUCUACAUCCCCUGCCAGGAACAUUCAGAAGAUUCUUCAUUCAAAGUUGCAGGGUGUCUGACUGUUAAAAACAAGUUAAAUAGUGCUUAAAAACUCUUCCAUUGCUAAGAAUUCCUGCCUGUGUUUCACUUUCAUUACAUUAAUGUUUUAUUGGAUCUUAGAAUGAGAGGUGGUUUCGUUUUUACAGGACAACUAUUGGUUUCAAUGCUUGGGAUGUGAAUGAAAAAGAUAGUGUUCAUAAUUUGGACCAUUGUGUAAAUGUAUGAAAUUUCCUCAAAACAUAAUAAUCAAAAUAUUUUUCAAUCCGAAAAAUAUUCAUAGAAAAUAAAUAUAAUAAUCAAAAUAAUAAAAAAACAUUUUCAAAUAUCUAUAAAAAUAUUCAUACAACACAAAUAUGAUAAUCUAUCUGUCAUUUUAAUCAAUCCUUUAAUUUGAUGAUAAAUUUAAUAGAGAACGUUACAUUGGUAUUUGCAAACUUAUUAACUAACUUCGUCUUAUGGUAACUUUAUUUUUCUCUUAGUAUAUAUUUUUACGAAUAUUAAAUAAGUCAUUUUUUUACAUCAUUCUUCACAUUCAUAGAAUAACUUUAUUGUAGUAUUUAUCUGCAUUCAUACAAACUUAUAGAAGUUUAAUGUUUAUUAUUUAUAUAAUAUAAAAUUUUGUUAUAUUUUUAUUUAAAUCCGUUUUGUAAUUUAUAGUGAUUUUUUUUUAAAAAAGGAAAACAAUAAAUUUAUGUAAAAGUACAAGGGGCAUAAUUGCCAUUUUGAUAAGACGUUUUCCCAUCUCCCGCAAUCACCAUUUUUAAGAACCAGACGAGGGAAGUCUUGUUGCCAAAGAAACUAGAAGUCUUACAUUCCCGGCCGCCGGAAAGAUCGACGCUGAGGGAAAGCUUUACGAAUGGAGCGGCUACAGAGAAUGUUCGCCGGUGCCGGAGGUUCAUUGGGGCACCCACCGCCGGACUCGCCCACUCUUGAUUCGUCGGAGCAGGUCUACAUCUCAUCCCUCGCGCUUCUGAAGAUGCUUAAGCACGGUACUAUUCGAAUUGAAGUUGCCGCUUUUCUUGUUUCUUAGAUUCCUAUUCUUUCGAAUGUGUUCACAAUCUCUACUAAUUUAAUGUUGAGAGGUCUUGUCGACUCUCCCCUUCUAUAUUAUCAACGAAUUUGGAUGGUUUUGCUCGGUUUUAGGUUUAGGAUGUUGGAUGUGGUUUAGGUCAUUGGUAAUUAAGAUUGUGAAGCUUCAAAUAAACUUCCCGUUUAUCUUAUUUCCACUUCAAUGUGCGUUAUAAUAGGAAGAGCUGGGGUUCCUAUGGAGGUGAUGGGUCUGAUGUUGGGGGAAUUUGUUGACGAGUACACCGUGCGCGUGGUCGAUGUAUUUGCUAUGCCGCAAAGUGGUACGGGUGUUAGUGUCGAAGCUGUUGAUCAUGUAUUCCAGACCAAUAUGCUUGACAUGCUUAAACAAACUGGACGGUAAUUUUAUUUACUUACCGUAAUGACUACAUUUGUUGGAUCUUAAAGAUUCAGUUGCUGAAAAUGAAACUUUAGAUCCUGAAAGAAACAGCUCCCCUUUUUAAAUUUUAGUUGUAUGUCCUCGCCUGUGGUGACUGGGAGGUAUUGUACUGUCCAUUGCGUGUUUAAUCUUUGGAAUAGACCUGAUUUUAGUAUAAAACUUACAUAGGUUUACUUAAAUUUUAUUGAAAUCUAUGAUCUAUGAAAAUGGAUAUGUACAGGAUCCCAGGAUGGUUGAACUCUAGCCAAGAAAAUCUUUUGACAAUUUCUCUGUUGCACAAUAUGCACUUUGGAGUGAUUUUAGUUGGCUGGCCACCAAUUUUUUUUCCUGUUUUUUCCUCUGGGCCUUUGUUUGUCCAGAAUCAGAAUCAGAAUCAUUUCUCAUGCUGAUUCCAACUCUUCUCUUAGGAAAUUAUUCCCUGAAUGUGGGCUCAAUUCGUUUUAAUUUUAAUAUCAUUCACAUUUUCAUGGAGCACCACUCACUAUACUAUCUUCUUUUAUAACCAUUUAUUUGGUUGUGCACCUUGUUUCAUUUGAAAGACUCCCCAUUUUUAGACGCUUCUCCAUCAUUUUUACUUUUGGUAUGUCAAUUGACAUUUUCAUCAAAUGAAGGUAUAGUUAGAAUUAAAUAAAGUAAUGAGUUCAAUCAAGGAUAUCUAUUGUUUUUGCUUUGUUUUUGGCUUGCUGCCUUGCUUUAUCAUUUUUUUGGCCUUGUACUGUGGCAUUUACUUUGUUAUUGUUCUGUUGUAUUGAUUUUAUUUAACCUACUAUGUGGGUUUUUAUUUUCGCUUAUGGAUGUGAUGAGGGCGCUAAAGGGGGGUGUCAACCUAGUUGAGAUGCUUGGGUGCGCCCGCUGAUCCUCCCCCUUCCCCUUUGCUCUUUGUAUGUCCCUCAUGUACUUUGAGCUUUGUCUCUCUAUUUCCAUUAUUAAUAAUAUUGAGACUCGUUUCCUUUUUUUUUAAAAAAAUAAAGUAAUGAGUUCAUGUCUAUGAGCUAAUGGAAGGGUAAGAGUAGGCCUUGUGCGGAGCUACAUUUUUGCUCGUCUGUGAUUUGAGAGUGUUUUGGGAGAUAGGGGAAGCUUCUCGGUUCUUCCCUUGUUCAUGUAUCUAUAUUGAUAGAUGAAUCCAGCAUUAUUAGAGUCCAGUCUUUUCUACUUUAAUUAUACUGAAGAAUGAAGAUUGAACUCGUUAUAGACAUAUAAUCUUUUACUGCCCUUUACCUCUAACUUUAACCAUUUAUUUUUUGCCUUCAGCCCUGAGAUGGUUGUGGGAUGGUACCACUCUCAUCCUGGAUUUGGAUGUUGGCUCUCUGGUGUCGACAUCAAUACUCAACAGGUUUGUGGUUCUAAAACAGCCUCGAUUUUUCGUAUUGUUAUCCACCUCAUUGUUAAUCAUUUUAGGGGUGAAUUCCUUUUCUUUUUCUUGUACUAGUAUAUUCUUAUUAUUUUGAAAUAAUUUUUUACUGCACAUUUUCUUUGAUUGGGUGGUCUUCCAGCUAAGGAAAGAGUGUAAUGUAGAUUUGCAAAUGAGAUUAUAAUGUGAAAUGUGCUUACUUUUGUCAUCGUUUGCAGAGUUUUGAAGCUCUUAAUCAGCGAGCUGUUGCUGUAGUUGUGGAUCCAAUCCAAAGUGUCAAGGGAAAGGUGGUUAUCGAUGCCUUUCGUCUAAUUAAUCCUCAGACAAUGAUGCUUGGCCAAGAACCUCGUCAAACAACUUCAAACCUCGGCCAUCUUAAUAAACCAUCUAUUCAAGUGAGUAUUGAACAUUCUUACCUAGAAAGUGAGUGUUAAACAUUCUUACCUAGAAAGUGAGUGUUGAACAAAUACAAUCAAAUCAUUAUUGCUUUCAGUUCCACUGACUCGUAUGAUUGUUUUCAG